rnacentral:tRNA from 1 species
UGUUGAAUAGCUUAAUACAGCGCUUAACUUUUAAUUAAGAGAUAAUAACAAUAUUUUCAACAA